ACAACUUCCCUGUGUCCAUGCCGCUUUGUUUGACAAAGGCCCGACGUCAAUCGCCAGUACUGUUUUCUCAGUUCCAUGUAAAUACUAUCCAUCUGCACCAAUGCUUCAUACGAGGAAGUAUUCUCUUAAGGUGAUAUCAAAGUACAAGAAAUUCAAGGACACAAUGUUGAAAGGUUUUGAAGCAAGUGAUCACGGCACAACAGAUAAUAUUGAAUUUCAACAAACGCAUAUUCGAAUUCGCUAAGCUUAAAGUAUCAACUUUGUACAAAAGUUACCGGAAUUUAAAAAAUAACCUGCACAGUGGGUUGAAAUAGAAAAAAUGUCUAAUACCUGCAUAUUCCAGGAAAAUGGCUUCUAAGUGACGAGUCUGAAUUACGUUGAUUUCUCAGUCUGAGGUAAGGGGGAAAACCACGGCCAUUACUACUUACGCUUUUUCAAGAGAUGAACAGAAAAAACGAAUGCGAAUUUCAGUUUUUAGAGUUAUAGCAAAAACAUUGGAGAUAAUAUUAAUUUAAACUACUUUAAUUAUACCUGAAAGUAUUCUGACGGAAUUCUUUGUGUUUACUCAUGAUGGAACGUCUUAUGAAUCGAAAGAGGCAGAAUAUCUUGCAAUUGAUAUUGGAGCAGCGCAUUUUACAAAGAAUACAUUAGUCCAUUUAAUUGAACGACGGCUUAUUACCACUCUUCAUCUGUGCAGUGGAUACCUUCGACUCCAGCCGCAAAUUCUAAAUAUGGGAGAUGUCUGGAUUGACGGGAAAAAUGGUACUGAAGUGAUAUCGAUAUUCAUAGGUCAGACAGCUUAAGACCAUUAUGGAUGCAUUUUUCUUGGAUAAAUGUGCAGUCACCAUCAGUAAUACUGCUUUCUUGGUUCCAAACACAAGACAUCAAUACUCUUCAUUUUCCUUAAGAUGAUUUGAAGUAUCACAUUUUCAUGAUGUCUACAUGUUUUAACCCAAGUGAUCACGGCACAAGACACCAUUUGGAGCUUUCAACCUUGCAAUUCAGAGCCUUUUCAAUGGAAAAUAUGGAGAUCCAAUUUAUGCAGUUGAGUUUGUAAAAUUCAUUUUGGCUUCGCCUAAAUUUAUGUUUGUGUCAAAGUGAAUACAUAAAUGGUCUGCACAGCCGAAAUGCGAUUAUGUAUGUAAUCAAAAUUACUUGAGGAUAUCAAUAUAUCUUUGAAAUAUUUUAUUCUAUUCUAAAAGCAAGAUGCUGAAUAUUUAUUUUUUCGACCUUUGCAAAGCUUUAAGUGUGCAAUAUCUUAUUCAAAACAAGCGU